CAUGGAAUAGCGGCUUUGGACGUU
rnacentral:siRNA from 1 species